UCCCUGGUGGUCCAGUGGUUAGGACUUCCCCUUGCAGAGCAGGGGUUGCAGGUUCAACCCCUGCUCAGGGAG
rnacentral:tRNA from 1 species